rnacentral:lncRNA from 13 species
AGCAAAACCAAUAAAGGCCGUCCCCAACCCAGAGGUGUACUGAAUAACCUGGCUAAAGCAAAACCAAUAAAGGCCGUCCCCAACCCAGAGGUGUUAGCUCAGCGGUUACUCUUUAAGUGCAGGAAGUGUUUUGUUUUUGUUGUUUUUAGGAAUUCAAACCGUGCUCAGUGGUCUUCUGCUAACAGUCCUACCGGUCUCUCUCCCUCUCAGCCUGCCAGCCGCUCACCUGAGGCCCCGGUGAGCGAGAAGUCUCCUCCUCUACCUCCAGCUCAGAGAGAGGAAGAGUCGGGACAAGGAGCUGAAAGGGUGUUGAUGCCACCUCCUCUCCCUGUGUUUCUGGCCCCUGGCCCUGUGGCACGAAAGAGACCCAGGGAGACAGCAGUACCAGAGGUCGCACCCAGUCUACCACCCAGAACCCUCGGCCCUGUGGCACACAAGAGACCCAGGGAGACGGCAGUACCAGAGGUCCCACCCAGUCUACCACCCAGCACCCUCGGCCCUGUGGCACACAAGAGACCCAGGGAGACGGCAGUACCAGAGGUCCCACCCAGUCUACCACCUAGCGCCCCUGCAUCACAGGGUACGCUUCUUACUGGGAACACACUUCACUGUACUUGAUGCCUGAAUGGGCAGACUUUUUGACCAUGAUGAAGUUGAGUGGUGUUUUCAAAGAUGUCUUCUCCCCUCAGUAGUGGAGUAAUGGAGACGAUCUGUUCCAGCUCCUCUGUGAUUGGCUGAGCCGUGCUAACCGUCACUUCCUGUAUGUGUUCUUUUGUCUUCCCCUUGUUCUCUCUCCACAUGUCUCCUGGACCUGCUGCUACCUAACAUGGGGUCUAUCUCAUCUGGUGUCUGUGUGAUCCCUCUGCUCUGACUGGCUGUGGAUCAAUCCAACCAACUCAAACAUGGGCUGGGCUCCUCUCUUGUUUUGCCCUCUCUCUCUGUCCCUCUCUCUCUGUCUCUCUCUCUCUCUCUCUCUCUGUGUUGCUCUCUUUCUGUCUCUUGCUGUCCGUCUUUGUUUUCUACAGAUUGUCCUCAGGAGGUGAAGAAGACUAAGGUAGUGGAGAAGCCUUCGUGCCUAGUACCCUACGGUGGGGACUCUUCUGAUGAGGGAGAGGACUCCUAGCAGUAAGACUCUAACUCAUAUGCCCACUACCCUUCACUAAUCCUAUCAGCCCCCCACCCUACAGUGUCCUCAUUCCACUUAGAUGCUGGGUUGCAGUGUUCAGCCCAAGUCUAGCUUUGCUCUGCUAUUACCGUCAUCGACUACUGGACAUUGGACAGAGCGUCACAUUGCUACGGCCCUGCCCCCUACCCCAAAAUAAAGCUACUUUGUUAUUAUAAUUAUUAAACCGUUUUCAUUUGGAAAGGUCAUUUUUAUUUCAAUUCUGAAAAAGCAUAUGUAGUUGUCCAUCCACGACCGAGCCUGCUCUACGACCGAGCCUGCAGUACACAAAUUCACUGAUUUUAUUACUGUUAUAUUGUGUAUAAUGGAAAAUGGUGUGAAUCUGUUCCCAUGGAAUACAUUAAUAAAUGGAUUUGGAAACAACAUUCAUCUUGUUUCAUGUUGUGGUAGUCCAGUCCAGGGUUUCAUCAUGUUAGUCUGUAACAGUGUUGUGGUAGUCCAGUCCAGGGUUUCAUCAUGUUAGUCUGUAACAGUGUUGUGGUAGUCCAGUCCAGGGUUUCAUCAUCAGUCUGUAACAGUGUUGUGGUAGUCCAGUCCAGGGUUUCAUCAUGUUAGUCUGUAACAGUGGUAGUCCAGUCCAGGGUUUCAUCAUGUUAGUCUGUAACAGUGUUGUGGUAGUC